rnacentral:lncRNA from 1 species
ACUACGACAUCUGGUGUUGUGAGUAAACAUGCGCAAAAUGACACAAAUACAACACACACUUACACUUUCACUCAAACUCACACAAACACUGAGAAAGAGAGAGAGAGAGAGAGAAACAUUAUGAGAGUGAUUCACGCCCACACGCCUUGGUUUGCCAUUCAACCUACAGCACUGUAGACGAUGCAGUUUCAAUUCAGUCAAAUUAUUAUUAAUAUUAAUAUUGCAUUUAUUGUAUCUCCAUGCCUUCCAAAUCUACAUACAUAUUCAUUCAUAUUCAUAUACAUGCUUCCAAUUCCAAUUCCAAUUCCAA